GAUGAAGAACGCAGCGAAAUGCGAUACGUAAUGUGAAUUGCAGAAUUCAGUGAAUCAUCGAGUCUUUGUACGCACAUUGCGCCCCCUGGUAUUCCGGGGGGCAUGCCUGUCCGAGCGUCAUUGCUGCCCUCAAGCACGGCUUGUGUGUUGGGCCUCCGUCCUCCUCCCGGGGGACGGGCCCGAAAGGCAGCGGCGGCACCGCGUCCGGUCCUCGAGCGUAUGGGGCUUCGUCACCCGCUCUUGUAGGCCCGGCCGGCGCUUGCCGACACAUCAAUCUUUUUUCCAGGUUGACCUCGGAUCAGGUAGGGAUACCCGCUGAACUUAAGCAUAUCAAUAAGCGGAGGA
rnacentral:misc_RNA from 1 species